UACGGGGGGGGCAAGCGUUGUUCGGAAUUACUGGGCGUAAAGGGCUCGUAGGUGGCCAACUAAGUCAGACGUGAAAUCCCUCGGCUUAACCGGGGAACUGCGUCUGAUACUGGAUGGCUUGAGUUCGGGGAGAGGGAUGCGGAAUUCCAGGUGUAGCGGUGAAAUGCGCAGAUAUCAGGAGGAACACCAGCGGCGAAGGCGGCGCUCUGGGCCGGUACUGACGCUGAGGAGCGAAAGCAUGGGUAGCAAACAGG
rnacentral:rRNA from 1 species